CAGGUGCGGGCGCGGGAGCGGGGGCAGGCGCGGGCUCUGCCUUCUUGGGGGGCUCGGGCUUCUUAGCGUCCUUCUUAGGUGCCAUUUUUUAGUCUAUUUGUCCGCCGGGAAGGAAGUCAACACAGGGAGUGGACCACAGCUUGGAGGAUACUCAGCAUUUUCAAGGUUCAAAGUUGUACCAGACUGAUCCUCUAUAUGCUAGAAGCCCAGGGGUUUUCUCAGUUAUGGGUCAUCUGAGUGGACGUUUGUCAAAGAGUGGAACUCUACCAGCAUCCAAAUUCGUCAGUGUCUGUCAUCGUGUGUGUGAGCAAAGUGCAGACAGUAUGAGAAAUGAUGAGAGGCAGAGAGAAAUUAAACUGUGAAGUGAAUGAAAGCUGAUAUUGACAAUGAGUGACUAAACAGUCUUUGUUCAUCUCAGCCUGGACUCUUGGGAAAGGGAGUUGUUUAGAAGUCUUAAGGAAACCUCAGCUGCUGAUGCCCGUUACCUCACAAAGCGCACAGAUGAGAUUUUCCCUCUCUCUCCCAUCUAAAUAUGUCUUGCUGGCCAUUUCCCCACCCCCAGAGGAAGGCCAUUAACGUAGAGACUCAAGAUAUUCAUUCACCCGUAUCAACCCCCCUGCUUUCUUUGACCCCCUUCAGUUGUAGCUCCCCAGCUGUCAUCAGGGCUCACCCCUGCCAUCUAGAAGCACCUUCUCCAAGAACCUGCCCCCUCCCAUUCCAUCCACCUGCCCACCAGAACCAACAACCCCCCUCAACUCUUAAUGAUUUUAGCAGCUAUCUCACUUUUAGCAUGCUUGGUUAUUUGGUAGGUUGUUGGGGAUGGGGAGGAGUCAUCAAGUUUGAUGGAACAUAUCCCAAGAUAACUUCUCUAGUACAGCAACCUGAGACUGAGCUUUCAAAACACCAGUGAAGCCUCAAUAUAAAACUCCUGCCUCAUAAACAUGCUACUCAAACUCAGAAAUGAAAAUAUCCUCAUCUGACUCUCCUCAAACUACACAAGCUAUACUAAUGAGGUAAGCAAGCUUAUGCCUAUCAUCAUACAGUAAAAGCCUGCAGGGUGUCAUGCCGAGGUGACACACAUCUCUGGAUUAAUUUAGUAUCUUUUCGAGAGCGCAACAGGGAGGGCGUGCCAACCGUGAGGAAGGGGACAGACACUCCGAGGAAAGGUGAAAAGGUCUCAUGGUGAAACACUUCACCAUGUGUAGCCAAGGAAAUGAUGAUGUUUUUCUUCGAUAGCACACAUUUUCCACCCAAGAAAUAACAUCCAUUGACAUAACAUUAUUUGUUUGUGGUUUGAAGAUUUUUAUAUGUAUGCACUUUUAUAUGUGGACUAAUUUUUAUUCUUAGCCUAUAAAUAAAAUUUUGAUAAUUGGAUCGGUGACUAGAGAGACACAUAAAGUCAAACUGAUUUAUACUAUAUCUAAAAAUAUUAAAAAACUACUUGAGGCAUUAGUCAUGGGUGUCUUAUAACAUUAAGAGACACAGAUAUGGGAUGAUCAUAUUGUAUAUACCCACAACCAUCUGCAAAAAAUAAACACAACUACACAUUGAUCCCAUAGAAAUACUUCUUAAUGUAUGUUAUCUUGUAUUUGUGUCUCUCUUUGCAUGUUUUUAUUUUAUUUUAUUUUUUUAUUCUGUCUGAAUAUUUGACUGAAUAAUGAAAAUAAUGGCUUACGGAAUCAGCUAACAACAUUGAAACUAGAUUGAACAUUGAAACUCACAUUGAAUGUGACUCAAAGUGACACAAAAUUAAAUGUAACUCCAUCAUAAAUUCCUCUUACAACUUUAAAGUUGAGUUUUCCACCGAAAAACACUUUUGUCCUUCACAAAUAUGAUUUAGACACUACCGACAGAUACAAGUAUGCAUUUGUGGAUAAAUGUGAAUAAUGUAUAUUGUCCCAUGUGAAUAAUGUAUUUACCUCAGUAUAUGAUUCAAGAGUUCAAGAGAUACUGAAGGACAAACUGCACAGAGUGAAUGAAACAUGGUGCUGCUGUCUUAAGAAUAGAGCAGGAAGUGACUGGUGUUAUUUUCAGAUAACCUUAAGGCAGAGCAACAGAAGCAUUCUGACUCAUAGAGGUCACAGAUUCUGCAUAGUUCGGACCUCAAUGGUUCUGAUGUGAGUCCCCAUAACUAACAGUGCCGCUCACCCUCCUGGACUCCUUACUAAUUCCAUAAGGAAUGGGAUUGUAACUUAGCCCCUGGACAGAUGGGCCUUAUUUAUAGCCCUUCCUGAAGAGGUGCGAAGUUUUCUUGGGAUCUCUCUGAGGGGGGUCCACAGCUCCUUAAGGGGUUUGAUUCAGCGUCAUCUGCCUAUCCCUUAAAGCCGUCUCAGACAGAUUAUAAAGGGUAAAGCUAAACAAAGCAGCACACAGCCUUGAAAAGCGGCUGCAACUCCCACUGAGGGUCUCCAAGCCAUCUGAAUGGCAGCCCCUCUCUGUAAAAGAAUACCUAUUAUAGUUCCUUGGAAUUGCUGAAGUCACCAACACACGUCAUCAGAGAGGCCCGCCCACCACUUCUGGUUCAAGUGCUGAGAUGGAAUAAAAUACCAAGUAAUCAUUUGCAUAUACUAGAGGCUGCUAGAAUGUUCUAGUGCUGCUUUAGAUAUGCUGAGAUGUGGAUAAACACCUCAGGACGAAAA